rnacentral:rRNA from 1 species
UAGGGAAUCUUCGGCAAUGGGGGGAACCCUGACCGAGCAACGCCGCGUGAGUGAAGAAGGUUUUCGGAUCGUAAAGCUCUGUUGUUAAGGAAGAACGAGUGUGAGAAUGGAAAGUUCAUACUGUGACGGUACUUAACCAGAAAGGGACGGCUAACUACGUGCCAGCAGCCGCGGUAAUACGUAGGUCCCGAGCGUUGUCCGGAUUUAUUGGGCGUAAAGCGAGCGCAGGCUGUUAGAUAAGUCUGAAGUUAAAGGCAGUGGCUCAACCAUUGUAGGCUUUGGAAACUGUUUAACUUGAGUGCAGAAGGGGAGAGUGGAAUUCCAUGUGUAGCGGUGAAAUGCGUAGAUAUAUGGAGGAACACCGGUGGCGAAAGCGGCUCUCUGGUCUGUAACUGACGCUGAGGCUCGAAAGCGUGGGGAGCGAACAGG